CCGUUAACAGCUGUGGAUGGAGCCUGGUCAGAGUCAAAGAAUGAUGCUAGCACUUACAUACUUAUGGGAGGCUCAGAACCAAGGUGACAGAACAAAGUUCACGUCCUUCUUCUUUGCAAUUAUCCAUUUCUCUCCCAUUAAAGUCAUAAUUAACUGGAUUUUAUUGAAAAGUGCUAGCAGGAAGAGAAUUUGAACUUUGGGAUGAAAAACAGCAAAGAAUGAAUGAAGAAAGAAUGUUCAGUGUAUGAUCUCACCGUACCACACGUGACACACAACAACAAGAGGGGACUUGAGUUCUCUGCCCACUAUAUUCCUCUGCUCCUGCAAAUAAAAGUGAACCUUCACCAUCCACAGUAAAUGUUGUGUACUGUUUGAGAUGAAAUUUAAUCUGAUAAAGCUACAUGUAUAUCAGAUAUACAA